rnacentral:lncRNA from 1 species
UCAAAACUGAGGAAAGAUGGAGAAAAUACCGAGGAGAAUGAGAGAAGGAGAUGCUGUGAGCCUGUGUGGUGUCGCGUAGGAGGGAGGGGGAGGAUAAGGGCUUGUCGGCGGCUGAGGGCGGCUGAGGGCGGCUGAGGGAGGCUGCUGAUGUGCCGAGGUAGUGAGGGUGAGGGCAGCGUGAAUCCUGCUAAGGUGUGAGGGUGAGAGCCGUGAGGCAGGUAUCGGUAGUUUAGU